rnacentral:rRNA from 1 species
AAGUAAAAUGGAGUGCAUAUCUGUUUGAAUAAAAGGGGAACCUUCCUCUAAGACUAAAUAUAAUAUAUAAGCGAUAGCGAAUAGUACCGUGAGGGAAAGGAUUGAAAUAGUAAUUUUAUAAGCAGCUCAAAAAUAGUUUAAAUAAACAAUGAGAGCGUACCUUUUGCAUAAUGGGUCAGCAAGUUAAUAUUCGAUGCGAGCAACAAUGCAAAGAUAAAACAAUUAUGAUAUAAUGAUGUAGUAUCGAAAUUAGACCCGAAGCCUAGUGAUCUUACCAUGAUCAGGGUUAUAAAAGUCCGAACGGGUUAUCGUUGUAAAGAUAUCCGAAGAAUCGUGGUAAGUUAGUGAAAGACAAUUCUGACUAGGAUAGCUGGUUUUCUGCGAAACCUAUAUAAGUAGGUAAUUUAAAUAGAAUAUCAGAAGGUACAGAAUUGUGAUCUCAUAAAUAAAUAUAUACUUUUUGUGGACAUUGGGGGGUCGUGAAGACUCUAUCAGUGAGUAUUUGUUCUCGGAAGGACUAGAUAUGUAUAUUGAAUAAUCAGACAUAGUACGAUAAGGUUGUAUGUCUAAAGGGAAAUAGCCCAGAACAAGAGUUAAUAAGGUUCCAAAAUUUUUGUUAAGUGAAAUUAAGGCAGUAUUUAUCCCAAUCGGCCAGGGAAUAGGCUUAGAAGCGGCCAUUUUUUGAAGACCUCGUAACAGAGCACUGGUUUUCUAUUUUAUGGAUAAAAGCACCGAAAAUUUAACGGAUCUAAACAAAAUACCGAUACCUUGUCCAUAUAUAUUAAUGUGUAUAUUAUAUAUUGUAUAUAUGGGGUAGCGGAACAUUGGGUAGCUAUUUUUAAUCCUUUAUAAGGAUUAAUUUGUUUAGAGUUUAACUUAUUAUUCUCUGGACUAAACAAGCCCAAGUGAUAAUGCUGACAUGAGUAACGAUAAAGGACCGUACCUAAAUACUAACACAAGUGAGCAAGUAGAGAAUACGAAGGCGUUCGAGCUAACAAUCAUUAAGGAACUCGGCAAAUUGACUCUCGUAACUUCGGGAUAAGGUGGACCAUUUCUUCUGAUUAAUAUCAGGCAAGAAACAGGAGGCAUAGAAUGGUGUUGUACGACUGUUUAAUUAAAACAAAGCACGCUGCGAAGAAAUAAAUUCGAAGUAUUGAGUGUGAUCUCUGCCCGAUGGCGGCUGGUUAACUAAUUUGCUUAGUUAAAUCUAAUAAGCUAGGCUUUGAUGGAAACCCCGUUCAAUGGCGGCCUUACCUAUAAGGGUCCUAAGGUAGCGUAAUACCUUGGCCGUUAAAUGCGGUCUUGCAUGAAUGAUGUAACGAUACAACAGCUGUCUCUAUGAUUGGCUCGGUGAAAUUGGAAUAACUGUGCAGAUACAGUUUACCUUUAGUUGGACGAGAAAACAGGCUAAUCCCGCCAGAGAGUUCAAAUUGAGUGCGGGGUUUGGCACCUCGAUGUCGGCUUAGCUCAUCCACAUGAAUGUAGGAGUCAUGAAGGGUCCGACUGUUCGUCGAUUAAAGAGCUACACGAGCUGGGUUAAAUACGUUGUAAGACAGUAUGGUUUCUAUCCUCUAAAGGAAGUUGGAAUAAAUUAAGGAUAGCCCCUUGUACGAGAGGAAUUGGGUAUAUUAACCUAUGGUUUACCUGUUGUUUGUAUUGCCAUAUUAUUGUAACUGAUAAGGCACGGCAGGAAAGCUACGUUAGUUAAUGAUAAGUGCUGAAUGCAUAUAGGCACGAAACAUACCUUAGAAUAUUCUCAUAUAUACGUAGUUUAAUACUACAAUUUUAAUUUUUAUUAAUAGGCUUUAGCUUAAAGAAUUGUGAUAUUUUUAGGCAUUAAGUACUAA